rnacentral:rRNA from 1 species
UACGUAGGCAGCGAGCGUUGUUCGGAGUUACUGGGCGUAAAGGGUGUGUAGGCGGUUGUUUAAGUUUGGUGUGAAAUCUCCCGGCUCAACUGGGAGGGUGCGCCGAAUACUGAAUGACUUGGAGUGCGGGAGAGGUGAGUGGAAUUCCUGGUGUAGCGGUGAAAUGCGUAGAUAUCAGGAGGAACACCGGUGGUGUAGACGGCUCACUGGACCGUAACUGACGCUGAGGUGCGAAAGCGUGGGGAGCAAACAGG